rnacentral:rRNA from 1 species
AUUGAACGCUGGCGGCAGGCCUAACACAUGCAAGUCGAACGAGUGGCGGACGGGUGAGUAAUGUCUGGGAAACUGCCCGAUGGAGGGGGAUAACUACUGGAAACGGUCGCUAAUACCGCAUUCCCUCGGAUUUGCCCAGCUGGGAUUAGCUAGUAGGUGGGGUAAUGGCUCACCUAGGCGACGACCCCUAGCGGGUCUGAGAGUAUGACCAGCCACACGGGAACGGAGACACGGUCCAGACGCCUACGGGAGGCACAAGUGGGGAAUAUUGGACAAUGGGCGCAAGCCGGAGGCAGCCAGGCCGGUGGUAUGAAGAAGGCCUUCGGGUGGAAAAGUACUUUCAGCGAGGAGGCGUUACUCGCAGAAGAAGCAACGGCUAACUCCGUGCCAGCAGCCGCGGUAAUAC